rnacentral:rRNA from 1 species
AAUAUUGCGCAAUGGAGGAAACUCUGACGCAGCGACGCCGCGUGAGCGAUGAAGGUUUUCGGAUCGUAACGCUCUGUCCUUGGGGAAGAAGGUCUUCGGACUUGACGGUACCCAAGAAGAAAGCCCCGGCUAACUACGUGCCAGCAGCCGCGGUAAUACGUAGGGGGCAAGCGUUGUCCGGAAUUAUUGGGCGUAAAGGGUGCGUAGGCGGCCUUUUAAGUCAGAUGUGAAAGCCCACGGCUUAACCGUGGGAUUGCAUUUGAAACUGGGAGGCUUGAGUAUCGGAGAGGGUAGUGGAAUUCCCAGUGUAGCAGUGAAAUGCGUAGAUAUUGGGAGGAACACCAGUGGCGAAGGCGACUCUCUGGUCUGUAACUGACGCUGAGGCUCGAAAGCGUGGGGAGCAAAC